AAUCAACAGACCCCACCAGUUUGGAAGUGCCCCAAUGCAGGCAAAAAUCACCAUGGUACUGGAUUAACAUCUUUAGAUUGGAUUCUGGUCACGGAAAGAAACUGGCUGAAGGAGUCUAUUUCAAAGGCACAUUACUGCAGCAUACAGAACAAGUGACGACUGGGAAAUUUCUUAAGCUAGUAAGGACUUUCAGCCUCUGUAAAGUUAACAAGUGCCCUGAAGUAACAGGGGAGAGAGAUGGUAGGUGGGGAGGCAUAGAUUAAACAGCUGUGUUUUGCACACUGUGCUCUUGAGCAAGGUAUAAGGGAACUGAGUUGGUCAUAAUUUCUGGUCAGAGGCAAAAGCCUAUUAAAUAAACUGACUUUCUGAAACAGCCUGUGGCCAACUCAAUGUCUUUGUGUUAAGCUUCUUCUGAAUCUGAACACAGUAGCUGGGCACACACUGUUAUAAUAAUCACCAGAUCACUGCAGUAAAGGUGUGCAGGGCAGCAUCUCAGCCACUGACAGAUCAAGGGAAACCAAGUGUAGCAUGGUGUGUCAGAGAGGGGGAAGAAGUGACUCAUACAGGAAGAAAAACAAAGCAAAGAUGAACUUAGAGCAGAGUGGCAGACUGUUGGCUGUAAAUCAGUUUUCUUGCACUCAGAAGGGUGGGUAUUAUGGUGAGAGAAGAUGUAUUUGACAGUAAUGGAGGUUCAAGGAAGUUUGAUUAAGAUUAAAUGGCAGUCACAUGCCAACACAGAAAAGAGGCUUUAAGACUAAAAUCAAAGACCGGAAGUGACUAAGUAGGUCAGAAGCUGUGAGUAGAGAGCUGCACAGAUUAAGUGGGACUUGGAGCAACUGAGUUAGCUCUGCUAAGUGAUAACAACACAAUGUCACCAAGUUUAACAAAUCUGACUCUGAGAUCACCUUCAAGGCCUUGAUAGCAAAUCAGAGAUUGCUGAGUCCUAGCUGUAUCUACAUCAGAGCAAAUGCUGAUUUCUUCUUGAGGAGCUGGGAAAAGUGAACCGACUAAUAGAAACCGUGAGACCGAGAAGGGCUGCUACUGCAGGUUGAAAAGACAGAUGCAAUGGAGAAACUUCGUUCAGCUCCUCAAUUCAAUCCACAGAUAUCCAGCAACAGAAAGGAUGGGCAGUAGGUACCUUUACUACCUUGGAAGCAGAGUGCAAACAGGGCAAUAUAAGAGAUUCACAAAACAAGGAGACAAGGAUGCCAAAUAAAAGGAGAGACAGGACUUCCCAAGGGAAUAUAUACAUAUGGACUUCCCCACAAGCAUGAUAAUAUACUUAGAAGUUCUCUAAAGAGAAAUAAAAAGGAAGAAGCAGAUGAGGAAUUUCUAGUCUACGUCAGCUCAUUUUCAACCAGUUCAUCAAAGAUCUGCUUUUGGUAUUUGGAGAAAACACAAAAGAGAGCCUGUGAGCUGUGCUCACAUUAUGCAAUGAUUGACUUAAGUGGGAACUCAUGGGACUGAAGGAUUUGGCUCAAAUAUGCAGUAGCUCACAGGAAAGUCCAAGAUGUUAGGUGCCAGAAGAUUUGGCAUAUAAGAUGUUUAGUUACUAAAGCAUCUGCCACUGCAGCAGGUAAAGUAUAAAAGCAAAGAGGGAGGUUCUAGUUUGGAAAGAAGCAGAUGACACUGCAUUAUCAGUACAGUACUAGACAGAUACAACUGGAUUUCAUCAGGAUUGCAUCUUCCUAUGAAUGGCAAUAAGAAGCUGUUUACAGACACAGCCAAAUCAGAGAGGGAAGCAAAACCCAUAUGAUAUUCAAUGUGCCUGAGAGGAAAUGAGACCUGCACUCUUGCUGUGGGAAAGCAGAGUCCUCACUAGGAGUAAAAAGAGAACUUCUACAUGUAGUGAUAACCCCUUGCUCAGCUCAAAUCACCUUCAGUCAAGAAUCCCUCUUGACCUUCCUGGUUGCUCUGGCUCUGCAUUCAUUGCUGAACUCCUUACUCUUGAGUUAAGGCCCAAAUGUAUUUUGUGAGUGAGCACAUAUAUUUAAUCUCUCCCAAAUGUUCCAUCUCAAAGUAAUGGCAUAAUACCUGGCUCGUUCUUUCAGCUCCACCAAACAAUAACUGCCAGGAAAACAGCUUAAUUCAGCCAUUCCUAACAAAAUACAGUUAAGUCCUUAACACACAGCCUUCUUUUUAGUUGGGCUGCUGCUUUUUUGGUGCAGUUCUUUGUAGAUUCCCAUGGUUAAUGCCAGUUGAAUUCCUCCUCCAGACAGCAACCUGCUUCUUGUAGAAACAAAUACAUUUACAUUUGGAGAAUUUUACAGCUGGAGCAUUUCCUAAGUCCUUCACUUCUGGCAUUACCUUUUCUCCUAACAGCCUGCACAGGCACCACCUGAAGGCAAGAUACUGGUAUUAGCAUUGUCUCUCAAAACUUCGACUUUCUGUGAUCUCUUCCCAUGAAUGUGAAAGUUGGAAGAACCAAAGAACUCUUUCUCUGUGCUAAAAUGGUGGAACUUUCCAUACAAGCAAAAGUAAAAUGGACUUAGAAACCAAACGACAGUAAAUGACAGAGUUUGUACCUCCCUGUCAGAUGUGCUAGAGCACCACUAUGGUAACAGCUCAGUGGGCACUAUGUACAUGCAAGGGCUUUGAAGCAGGGGAUGAGGAGAAGCAGUUAGUGACAUGUAGAGAUGUGGAAAGAGGGAGGAAAAGGUCUGAAAAAUCCUGAAAAAAAAAAGAUUCUAGUGCACAAAGGAAAAGAUUUCUCUAGUGCCAAUCCUUCUUGGACUUUGGCUCAUUCAGCAGUGGUGAACUGACCAAGACCUAGUGGAUGGCUGCACGCUGUCCAAGGACUAUCUCUGCAGUGUGACAGCAAAGAUGCCAUGGCAAGGAAAGGAAGCAGGAACCUCUUGGAAGUAUCAUAAAAGGCUAACUGAUUCCCUUUCAUAUACAGAGUUUCCACCAGACUCUGGGAGAACAUUUAAAAAGCCCCAUGGUAUUUUCUUCUUCUUUAAAAGGGACCAGUACACUGUUCAUAGUCCCUGCUAAAAGUGAGACACUCACUGUCUGGUUACUCUCUGUCCAAUGGAACAGGAUCUUUUUUGUGAACUUUCCUGGGGCACUGUAUGUGACAGGAGAUAGUAGACAACAUGACAGACAACAGUUCUGAAUAAGCCAACAGUUACUGAAUAAGACCAUACAACAUGUGGAUUCAAUUUCUGACUCUGGUAGACUUCUAUAAGAGAAGACUUCACCAAGAGACUCCUUCAACACUUUCAUUAUAUCUCUUCUGAGUAAGACGACAAUAACACCCUCUCACCAUAUAUUAAUACUUUACCAUAGAGAUAUUAAUUCCUAUUUGUACUCAAUCCUGUACUUGGGAAGUAAACAUGGCAAAGAGAAGAAUGUCUGCACCUGCACAGCCUAAGCAAACAUCAUCAGUUCCCUGAAGAAUUCUGAUAUGCAAUCCAUUACACAAUUAUACAAUUGAUCUAGUGGCAAAUACAGCCUUGCAAGGCUUCUGCAGUGUUGUAAACCUUACUUUCAAUGAUCUUAGCUUUUGUAGAUUUUAAUUGAUUAAGCAAAAGUGUUACAAUGUACUUUCAAGUGGCCCUUAAUAAACAGAUUUUGCUUUAGAAA